AUAUAAUUAAGCGGAGGAAAAGAAACCAACAGGGAUUCCCCUAAUAGCGGCGAGCGAAAAGGGAUCAGCCCGAGAUGUGAAUCGAAGUAGGCUUGACUUGCUUCGGGUUGUGCAUCAUGGUCUUUACCAGCAAGCUUGGACGUCUAAGGUGCCUGGAAAGGCACGCCACAGAAGGUGAUAGCCCUGUCUUUGGCGUCUAAAGCUUACGUACGGUACUGAUCGACUGGGUCACGCUCUUUGGGAGUAGAGCGCAAACAGGGUGGCAACCUCCAUCCACGGCUAGAUAAUGGUGAGAGACCGAUAGCGCACAAGUA
rnacentral:rRNA from 1 species